CCUACGGGUGGCAGCAGUGGGGAAUAUUGCACAAUGGGCGAAAGCCUGAUGCAGCAACGCCGCGUGAGCGAUGAAGGCCUUCGGGUCGUAAAGCUCUGUCCUCAAGGAAGAUAAUGACGGUACUUGUGGAGGAAUCCCCGGCUAACUACGUGCCAGCAGCCGCGGUAAUACGCAGGGGGCUAGCGUUAUCCGGAAUUACUGGGCGUAAGGGGUGCGUAGGUGGUUUCUUAAGUCAGAGGUGAAAGGCUACGGCUCAACCGUAGUAAGCCUUUGAAACUGGGGAACUUGAGUGCAGGAGAGGAGAGUGGAAUUCCUGGUGUAGCGGUGAAAUGCGUAGAUAUUAGGAGGAACACCAGUUGCGAAGGCGGCCUACUGGACGGUGACUGACGCUGAGGCUCGAAAGCGUGGGGAGCAAACAGGAUUAGAUACCCGAGUAGUC
rnacentral:rRNA from 1 species